UAGUGAGUUUGAUCCUGGCUCAGGACGAACGCUGGCGGCGUGCUUAACACAUGCAAGUCGAACGGUGAAGCCCUUCGGGGUGGAUCAGUGGCGAACGGGUGAGUAACACGUGAGCAACCUGCCCCUGACUCUGGGAUAAGCGCUGGAAACGGCGUCUAAUACCGGAUACGAGCUGCGAAGGCAUCUUCAGCAGCUGGAAAGAACUUCGGUCAGGGAUGAGCUCGCGUCUGAUUAGCUAGUUGGAGAGGUAAAGGCUCACCAAGGCAUCGAUCAGUAGCUGGUCUGAGAGGACGAUCAGCCACACUGGGACUGAGACACGGCCCAGACUCCUACGGGGAGCAG
rnacentral:rRNA from 1 species